rnacentral:rRNA from 1 species
GAAUAUUGCGCAAUGGACGAAAGUCUGACGCAGCGACACCGUGUGAAGGAUGAAGGUCUUCGGAUCGUAAACUUCUGUCAAUUGGAGACGAAGGCAGUAGGGUUAAUAGCCUCAAUGCUGACGGUACCCAAAAAGGAAGUCUCGGCUAACUCCGUGCCAGCAGCCGCGGUAAGACGGAGGAGGCAAGCGUUGUCCGGAAUUAUUGGGCGUAAAGAGCGCGUAGGCGGUUUUCCAAGUCAUAUGUGAAAACUUUAGGCUUAACCUAAAGAUUGCAUGUGAAACUGGAUAACUAGAGUACGGCAGAGGAAAGUGGAAUUCCUGGUGUAGCGGUGAAAUGCGCAGAUAUCAGGAAGAACACCAGUGGCGAAGGCGGCUUUCUAGGCCGUUACUGACGCUGAGGCGCGAAAGCUAGGGGAGCGAACAG